UCCCUGGUGGUCCAGUGGUUAAGACUCCGCGCUUCCACUGCCGGGGUUGCAGGUUCAAUCCCUGCUCGGGGAA